AAUAGAAUAUUAUGAUGAUGAUGAUGAUGAUGAUUGUGAUUUUGAUUUUAGAUGAAGAUCAUAAUCAUCAUCAUCAUCAUCAUCAUCAUCAUCAUCA
rnacentral:pre_miRNA from 1 species